UGGUUGGCAUUCAGAUAAUGAAUUCAAUUCCAAUGGUUUUCCUCCUCGAGUGAUAAAACAUGCUGAGGAGUCCUUAGGUGAACCGUGCACAGAAGAAACACAAUCCAGAGUCGGAAUCUGAAUGGGUUAAUCAGGGUGGGUUUCGCGCAGCAAAUUUUGCAGUAGCGACUUCCAGUCAUAUGGAGGAUCUAGUUGGAAUGCCAUCUGAGGCAUUUGGUGCUUAGCUGAGUUAUA
rnacentral:misc_RNA from 1 species